rnacentral:rRNA from 1 species
UACGGAGGGGGCUAGCGUUGUUCGGAAUUACUGGGCGUAAAGCGUACGUAGGCGGCUUUGUAAGUUAGAGGUGAAAGCCCGGGGCUCAACCCCGGAAUUGCCUUUAAGACUGCAUCGCUUGAAUCGCGGAGAGGUGAGUGGAAUUCCGAGUGUAGAGGUGAAAUUCGUAGAUAUUCGGAAGAACACCAGUGGCGAAGGCGGCUCACUGGCCCGAUACUGACGCUGAGGUGCGAAAGCGUGGGGAGCAAACAGG